rnacentral:lncRNA from 1 species
AGUAAAUCUUGAGCAUCAUAAUAUUUCAUCCAUAAAGAUCUCAGUAUGUGCCCCUAAUAAAUAAGGACUCCUUUAAAAAAUACACAACCACAAUUUCAUUAUCACGCCUAAAAGAGCUUAGUAAUCAAGGAUUCCUUAAUUCAUAAAAUAUUCAACAAGUGCUUACAUUUCUCCAACUGUCUCAAAUUGUAUUCUUUUACAUUUUGCUAGUUUGAAACAGAAUCCAAAUAAGCCCCAUACUCUGUAAUUGGUUGAUGGAGCUCUUCAUACUCUUUUAAUCUACAGAUUUCCUCCCUCUAUUUCUUUUUUCCACCUUGCCAUUUAGUAAACCAGCUCAUUUGUUUAAAUUUCCAAUAGUCUGGAUUUUGAUUAUUGUGUCACCAUGUGUCAUUUAACCUAUUCCUCUGUUUCUGUAUAUUCUACAAAUUGUUAGAUCCAGAGGGUUGAUCAGAUUCAGGUUCAAUUUUUUGGUACGAAUACUUCCUCGGUGGUAUUUCACACUUCUAUCUGGAAGCAUGUAACUAUGCCUGGUUGCUUCUGUGACAUUAGCAGACACUGAUGACCACUGCCCCUUAUUUCAUUAGGAGCAGACACCCAAUUACGAACCACACAUUUUGAUUAAUCGCUGAUAUUAUAUGACUUCGUUGGAUCCUACUGUUUUACUUAAAAAUUUGGUCUGGAGGCUGAAUCAGGGGAGAAUUGCUAGAGCCUAGGAGUUAGAGGCGAGCCUGGGGGAACAUAAGACAUUUUCUCUAAAAAAUAAAUUCAUAAAUUAAAAAAUAAAAAAUUUGGGCCAGGCGCGGUGACUCAUGCCUGUAAUCCCAGCACUUUGGGAGGCCGAGGCGGCAGAUCACGAGGUCAGGAGAUCGAUACCAUCGUGGCUAACACGGUGAAACCCCAUUUCUACU